CCUACGGGAGGCUGCAGUGGGGAAUAUUGGGCAAUGGGCGCAAGCCUGACCCAGCAACGCCGCGUGAAGGAAGAAGGCUUUCGGGUUGUAAACUUCUUUUAAGGGGGAAGCGCAGAAGACAGUACCCCUUGAAUAAGCCACGGCUAACUACGGGCCAGCAGCCGCGGUCAUACGUAGGUGGCAAGCGUUGUCCGGAUUUACUGGGUGUAAAGGGCGUGCAGGCGGGGAGACAAGUCAGAUGUGAAAUCCACGGGCUCAACCCGUGAACUGCAUUUGACACUGUUUCCCUUGAGUGUCAGAGAGGUAAUCGGAAUGCCUGGUGUAGCGGUGAAAUGCGUAGAUAUAGGGAAGAACACCAGUGGCGAAGGCAGAUUACUGGACGAUAACUGACGGUGAGGCGCGAAAGCGUGGGGAGCAAACAGGAUUAGAUACCCGUGUAGUC
rnacentral:rRNA from 1 species